GUGCUCACUUCGACAGCACAUAUGCUAAAAUUGGAAUGAUACAGCGAAGAUUCGCAUGGCCCCCGUGCAAGGAUGGCACGCAAAUUCGUGGAAGCGCUCUGUAUUUUU